AUGCACACCUGGGGCUCCUUGCUCAACAGUUACAAAGAUUUCAAAAUGCAUGCUGGCCGUGUGCCGGUUUCAACCCUCUCCUCCCACGUGACGACUCAGCGUGGGGUCAGGGGCCUGUGCGGAGUCCAGGGCCCCGUGAUCUAUGGGGUGCAUCACCAGCCAGCGCCACUACCCGAAUGCCGUAGGCCUGACGGCCACAUCUGCAGUGGGGCGGCGGUGACAGGUGCUCUCAGGCAUGGCAAGGACAGAGUCCGCGGGGCGGGAAGGAAGCUGGGGGAGAAGAGCGGGGCAGGGAGAGGGGUGUUCCGCGUCGGGAUCUCACACGUGAGGCUCCGCAGUUCUUUCUUUUCUCUGGACAGUCUCGCUACGCGGUUCAGGCUGGGUUUUGUGCAAGUGAGACUAGGGCCCAGUCAUCACCCCACCACUGCAGCCAGGCCUCCAGCGGCCUUUCCCUGGGACUGCCCAGCCAGGACCCCCGCCACCUGCACCUUCUCAAGGGAGGGGACUCCCCGCCUCACUGAAGAUGCUCACGGUGGACCCAGAAUCCCCUGCUUCCGACAAGCCUCGUUAAAAUGAGCUGCUGCUGCGGCCUCCGAAGGACGAGGGCCAGGAGGCUGCCAGCCUGUGGGACUCAGGGAACCCCGAGGCGGGGCGGGGGCUCCCUGGCGGCACUGCGGCUGUCGCUUUUGAGAGCUGCCUCGGCACACGUGGCCUGGCACGUAGGCUGCUGUGCAGCCCCCGCCCCGUGGCUGCCUCCAGAUCCCAGGCAGAGCAAGGGCGAGCCGCCCAGCCCCAGAAGUGAGGUGGGAUAGGUAACCACGAGGUGCGGGGUAUACCUAAACACUGUCCUUUCCAGAAGACUGCAACUUCAGGAACCACCCAGAGCACCCCGCCGCACGCCCCCGCCAGGCAUCCGUAUCAACACUCCUUUGGGUACAGUAGAUGUUAGUUCCCUCCCAGAACCAUCGCACCCCAAAUUCUCCAGAGAUACUGCAAGCCCCUCAGCUGGCUUCACUGAGCAAGGAAGGAGCAAGAGCCUCACCCCGAGAUAAAGGAGCAGGGUGAGCAAACCAAAGAAUGCUUAACAUCCCUAUUUCAGUAAAAGGAGGAGAAAGUGAGACACGGAGACACUAUAAAGUGGGCUAGUGCCUUGGGGGGCCCCCUCUCCCCGGGCUUUUCCACCCCUUAAAGAGAAGUGUUCCAGUCCCACACUGGGUGGCACCUCCUUUCUGAAUGCUGCACCCCACGCUCAAGUGCACCUUAAACCUCUAAUACAUGCUUUCCACGCUUCUUACUAACUUGUCCUGAAAAUUUCUUCCAAGACAGUCAUCAGUGAACCUGCUACAAAAGGGUGGCUUACACGCCUGACUCCGGCUCCAGGACACUCCAGACCUGCCCGGAGAUGAGUGAGCGGAGUGGGGUCAAACAUGGGGGCAGACGGUGACACUCCCAAGAAUUGUCAGGACACUGCGAGAGGAGAAACGGGGUCACAGCGUCGGGGCUCGAGCAGCCCGGAAGCUUGGCUCCCCCUUAGUGCAGCAGUGAGCCUGGACAGGGGCUGGGGAGAUCCCCACACGGCCACCCAGAAGGCCACACUUGUUACCGAGCAGCCAUAGAAGCCUUUGACUCAAUAAAAACCUCACUUGGAAAGCAAAUACGAAAAUUUUGUUUUGUUUUUGUUUGUCUUUUUGAGACAGGGUCUCACUAUGCAGUUCAGGCUGGCCUUGAGCUCACUAUGUAGUCCAGGCUGGUCUCAAACUCGCAACGAUCCUCCUGCCUCAGCCUCCUGAGUGCUGGGGUUACAAGGGUGCUUCACCAUGCCUGGCUCAAUAUUGUUUUGUGUGGGGCUGUGCAGGACACCUGGCUGGGUGACCAAGUGCAGGCUCGGACAAGUCACAAGUCACAUCCCCGGUCCCUGGGCUCUCUCGAGUUCCUGCUGUGUGAGGCUCCCAUGUCUCUGCUCUCGCCGCCUCCGCCCCCGCUCCUGUCCCCCACUCUGCUGCAGCACGACCCAGUGACCUUCACCGGGCCUUAUAUUUCAAGGGCACAAAGCAGGAUAUUCGACAGUGCUCUCUGGGCUUGACAGGUGUCGGUGUAAAUGAGAGUACUUUCAACACUCCCUGACAUUUAUUAAUCUCUUCCUUUUCUUCUGCCUUUCUGAGAGAAAGCAACAAUAGCUAACUAAAAUUUAUGGAUACUGUUUUGUUUUUAUCCUGUAGUUUUUACUCCUUAAUUCUAUUCAGUGACAAAUGAGUUAUUUUGUUCAUGACAUAAAAAAAUCACAAUGACAGCUGGGUGCAGUGGCACAUUCCUGUAGUCUCAGCUGCCUGGGAGGCUGAGGCAGGAGAAUGACAAGUUUGAAGCCAGCCUGGGCAACUCAGAUCAUGUUUCAAAAUAAAAUUUUAAAAAGGGGGUGGAAUAUAGUUCAGUGGUAGGGUACUUGCUUAAGUAUGUGAGCGCCUGGGUUUAAUUCCAGUGCAGAGACACACACACACACACACACACACACACAAUUACAAUGGUCAGCAAAGGACUGAUGUUUGGGAACCAUGGCUCCUAAACUGAACAGGAUUUGGAUUGUGAUCUGAGCUUCAGCUUGAACCAGAGAGAGAGGCCCUGUGGACCGAGUCAAGGCCCAUGAAGGGCCUGGGGGUCCUUGUGGGCACUUGGGCUGCCCAUACUCCAGCCUCCAGGAAGUGACCUGGAGACGCAGAGCUGAGUAUGGGCUCUGGCUGGGGCAGAGGAGUCGGGUGAGUUCUGGAAAGCCGGGGAAGCUGGCUCAGGUAGCCCUGGGCUCCUGCAGCAGUUCUGAGAUUUGCUACGGGCCCUGAGAGAGAAAGAGCUGGCUGAGCAGCUCAGCGCAAGUUUAACGCCUGGGCGGGUGCCUCACCCGUUAAGAACUCAGCACUGGGGCUGGGGAUGUAGCUCCGGGCGGUGGAGCGCUUGCCUAGUGUGCAAGGUCUUGGGCUCCAUCCCAGCAUCACCGAAAACAAAUACAAACAACCAAACCAAAACACUCAUCGCUAGGGUCUGCCUCCUGGAAGACGCAGGCGAUCCGAGCAGCGCCAGCUAGUGGCAACAGGGCGGAUAAUGCCUGGGAUGACCGCGGACCCGGCAGGGCCGGGAUCCACUGUCCCAGCAGGAGAAUAGGCACUGAGCUAUCCACGGCAGAAGCUGACAGCGCUAAGCAGCUGCCUGCUGUCCCUCAAGUGAGGGCUGGGUGGCAGUGGGGUCUGAGCGAGUCAGACGACUCCCAGCACGAUGAACGAGUGGCAGCAGGGCUGUGCUGGUGUGGCCUGCACACAGCAAACCCGGACUCCCGGGGUGAAGGGAUUCUGUACAGAGCUACACCAUGACCCGGGGUGGGAGGCUCUAUGCCCAUGUGCAGGUAGCCAGUGAAGGCCGGGAUGCAGAGGACUGCCCCAGGAGGGAGGGGAAUUCUGGACAAGCCUUGAAGGGUGGCCUGCCAUGCCGCGCCAGGAGAGCUGAGGGCUCCUCAGUGGAGGUGCCUGGAGGAUGCAGAGCAGUGACCCGCGCUUCCUGGUGGGCAGCUGGCUGGGGCAGUCCCCUGGGUCCCUGGGGCCUCGGCAGGAGCCGGGAAGAAGAGACGGCGUCACAAGCCGCCUCCCCAGGCAGGGAGAUAGUGUGCAGAGGCUUCCUGGAACGACUCCCCAGGUCUGGUCCCUCUCAUGCAGGAGCCCUGGCCUUUUCGAGGCCACCCCUGGGUCUCCCCCAGUCCCCGCACAGUUAAUACACAGGGACCAAGCCACGCCCAGCCCCACCCCCUGCCAGCACUGCAGAGACUGACAGUGAGGGGCGUGAACGAGGCGGGAGUCCAGAUCUGUCACGCAUGCUGCCAAGGGGCCCAGCCCAAGCUCUCACAGCCCUCCCUCCUAGGGACCCCCGCACCCUCCUUCACACGGACCCCCGCUGCUGCUCGAGAGACACCGGCCUCUGGUCCACCCACCACAGAGCCCGUUCCUCGUUUACAGACCUGGCCGAGUGAGCCUGGGGUAGGAGUCAGGGCAGCCCCGGAAGACUGAGCUUCCAUGAGGCGGCACUGAGCCAAGGCCCGGCUCCUGUGCUGCCCGUGGUUCAGCUGUGUCUGGGCGUGGACCUCGGCCUGGCUGCUCCGCCUUCCCUUGGAUUUUCUGGGCCCAUGUUCAGUUUGCCCUGAACCAGCUGGGGCUGGGGUCCGCCUCUG
ensembl:lincRNA